rnacentral:rRNA from 1 species
GAUGAACGCUAGCGGCAGGCCUAAUACAUGCAAGUCGGACGGGAUUCAGGAGCUUGCUUCUGAUGAGAGUGGCGCACGGGUGCGUAACACGUAUGUAACCUACCUUUAUCAGGGGGAUAGCCUCUCGGAAGAGAGAUUAAGCCCGCAUAAAAUCACAGCACAGCAUUGUGUAAUGAUCAAAUAUUUAUAGGAUUAAGAUGGGCAUGCGGAACAUUAGCUAGAUGGCGGGGUAACGGCACACCAUGGCGACGAUGUUUAGGGGAUCUGAGAGGGUGGCCCCCAACACUGGAACAGGGCAACGAACAGAACUCCAACGGGGGGCAGCGGAAAGGAAUGUAGGUCAAAGGGCGGAAGCCUGAACCGGCCAGGCCGCGGACAGAAAGACGGCCUUACGGGUUGUAAACUGCUUUUAAACAGGAGUAAACCCAAAUACGGGUAUCCGGCUAAAGGAACUGUAAAAAUAGGAUCGGCUAACUCCGUG